UGAGGAAAAUUCCCUAAAGUCCACGUUACCUCAGUUCUUUGAGGAAACCCUAUACACCAACUCCAAAGUGUCUUCAUGUAAUCUAGAAUCAGAAAGAAACAUUUCCUCUCAAGUCAGGGAAAUGUCACAUGGAGAGCCUAGUCCCCUCUCCCACCCACCCCUAUCUGGAGCCAAGAGGGAAGGAAACAGCUCUGCGGUUUGGGGGCUAAUGAUAGGGAAUGAGGCUUUUAGACAAUUGUGUCCUCAGUGACUGAAGGAUUCUGGCCUAUCUGUGCUUCUAGAAAGGGGAGGAUCAGGCAAUGUCUGCACAAAGUACAGUUUUCUAGAGUGCUGGUAAGUGGGUUCUCUAUGAUCUGUCUGAAUGGUGGAGCCGACUGAGACACAUUAGUUUUCUAAAUCACUCAGAUCGCUCAAAAGCAAACAAACAACAGCAAAAAACAAGCAAACUGAAAACUCCACAUCACUUGUGCCUAUAAUACUUUCUUGCUCAGAGUAUAAACAAACUUUUACUUGAAUUAAGUGGAAUAAAUCCACAUGGGACACAGGCCCAGAGAGUCCCAGUUUAUAUUUUCAAGCAAAGAAGACAGACUUGCAGGCAGCUAAACUUCGUGCAAAAGAUCAGAGGGUACUCACCAGGCCACUUCCACAACUAACACCCUAGUUGUUUUCUCAAAUAGUAUUUUUAAUGCAUGAGCAACCAGAUAUAACCAACUGGAUGCUUCUCCAUGGCCAGAUGGAGUGUUUGAAAAUAUUCCUUAAUGUAGCACCAAAUCAUUUUUCAGUUCAUUGGUGACCUAGAACUAAAGAGUCAGGGAGACUCUUCUGUAAAGGCAGGUUGUUUGGAACUUGUUUUUUGCCCCACCAGCUGAGAUCCUUUACAACAAACAGUGCACUGACUCAGGGUCAGUGAGAAUGUUCAACCUUCAUUAAAUACAUUGCCUAGAGAAGAGGCCAAAAGAGAUAUGAUCCUAAGAUGGCAGUAAAUCCAACCUUUGUAAAAAGAUGGAAGCCAAUGGCCACUGACGCCAGUGCAGAGUUGCCUUCAAUUUAAAGUGGGUUGUUAAUGUCGUUCCCUGGAGCUGACAUUUUGUCUUUAGGAUAAGGCAGAAAAGCAGGAAAAGAAGACUGUUAUUUUGAAGAAGAAAACCUGAAAACGCAACCUCAGUUGGUAACUAGUACUUGGCGAAGAAGGAAAGCCGGUGCGGUUUUAAUGAGAGAAAGUAACUGCCAGGCCUUUUGACCAUCGCCUUCGCUUUGCAAAUCUGGUUUUCAUAUUCUUGCUCAGUAAUCACCCAAAGUCAUAACUGUCUCUGAAAUUAUUCAUUAAAGUCAUUUUCAGGGAUUCUCACAGGAUGACUCUUUUACGUUUAUGAUCUUGUGAGAGCAAUGACAUCAGCCUCUGUCUGUUUUCCGCAUUUAAUUAACGUGCCGCGAAGACGCGAGGGGCCGUGGCUGUGUGCGUGGGGAGGGGGCGGGCUGGGGUGGAAUCCAACGGCCCUGGUGCUCCCGGCGCGGUCAGCUGAGCUCAGGCGCGCAGACAUCCUUUGAUUAAGGAGGGUAUUUCGGGGAGUGCAGGCUGUGCAGAAGAUCACGGCUGUGCCCUCUGGUGCUGUCAGCAGUGACAGAUCCCAGAUGGGGCCGCUACUGUAUGGCAGAUUGAGUUUCUCAGCAGAAAACUCACCCUCCCUCCUAAACGUCUUCAAAAACCUUCUCCAGAUACUCCAAGUCUCUUCGUGUGAAACUGAAAAAGUCCAAUCCCAAAGUUGGUUUUGAGUGCGUGUAUGUUACGUGUUUUUGUUUUGUUUUUUUUUUUAUUCCUUCCUCUAUUUUUUCUCUGCAUUUACUCCUCCUCUGAGCAUCUUCGACCCGCAGGGCUACCUGGCUGCUAAUAGCGUAGACGUGGCGGGCCUGGGGGUUCCUGUUCGCCUAGCUCACAGCGCCACGCCGACUACACAGCACCGAAGGGCCCCGAAGGCAACCCGGAAGUUUUGGAGAAAAGGAAAUGACACUCCCUUCAUACCUGGGAAGACGAACCACUUGCCCGAUGUGCACAAAGACGGAGUCUCGUUCUGUCACGCAGGCCAGAGUGCAGUGGCACGAUCUCGGCUCAGUGCAACCUCCACCUCCCGGGUUCAAGCGAUUCUCCUGCCUCAGCCUCCCGAGUAGCUGGGACUACAAGCACAUGCCACCAUGCCUGGCUAAUUUUUUGUAUUUUUAGUACAGAUGGGGUUUCAUCAUGUUGGCCAGGCUGGUCUCGAACUCCUGACAUCCAGUGAUCCACCCGCCUCAGCUUCCCAAAGUGCUGGGUUUACAGGCAUGAGCCACCACACCCAGCUGCUCACUUCUUACUCAGAAGGUGAAUGUUUGUCAUAUUUAGUGUUUCUGGUACUUGUGUAGCACGUGGCAUACAUAGUUAUGCACCGUAUAAUGAUGUUUUAGUCAACGACAGACCGCAUAUAUGACAGUGGUCUCAUAAGAUUAUCACACCAUAUUUUUUAAUGUACCUUUUCUAUGUAUAGAUAUGUUCAGAUAGACAAAUAUUUACCAUUGUGUUGCAGUUGCCUGGAGUAUUCAGCACAGUGACAUGUUGUACAGGUUUGUAGCCUAGGAGCAAUAGGCUAUACCAUAUAGCCUAGGUGUGUAGUAGGCUCUACCGUCUAGGUUUGUGUAAGUACAUUCUAUGAUGUUCGCACAAUGACACAAUCACCUAAUGAUGCAUUUGUCACAACAUCUCUGUUAUUAAGUGAUGCAUGAUUCUACUGCCUUAUAUCUGCUGGAGACAGUUGUCCGGAGGUUUCCAUGUCUCUGCAUCUCUUGCCAGCAGGGAUACUGACUGCGUUUAUUCUGAACUAUGAUUACAAGGAUGUUUAUACAGGGGAUAGCCUUAAAAUAUGAAAACGAAGUCUGUCUCUGGAGAAAAGGGCAGGUAUGCCUGCUGCCCAUUAAGACAUGGGUUCCUUAAGUGCCAGGUUUCUCUCCUAUAAUGCAACUUACGUCAUGUGCUGGUGUCAAAUGUCAUCUGUGUCACCUGGUGGGAAUUGGGGCCUGGGGAAGUCACAAGAAAAAGCUGGUACUGUGACUAUUGCUAUGGCUAUAAUAAAGGCAUUUAUGUGUGACC
rnacentral:lncRNA from 1 species